GGUAUGGUAGCAAUACCAGAGACCGGCGCACGGGUGCGUAACGCGUAUGCAAUCUACCUUUUACAGAGGGAUAGCCCAGAGAAAUUUGGAUUAAUACCUCAUAGUAUUACGACCCGGCAUCGGGAUGUAAUUAAAGUCACAACGGUAAAAGAUGAGCAUGCGUCCCAUUAGCUAGAUGGUAAGGUAACGGCUUACCAUGGCAACGAUGGGUAGGGGUCCUGAGAGGGAGAUCCCCCACACUGGUACUGAGACACGGACCAGACUCCUACGGGAGGCAGCAGUGAGGAAUAUUGGACAAUGGGCGCAAGCCUGAUCCAGCCAUGCCGCGUGCAGGAUGACGGUCCUAUGGAUUGUAAACUGCUUUUGCACAGGAAGAAACAACGCUACGUGUAGCGUCUUGACGGUACUGUGAGAAUAAGGAUCGGCUAACUCCGUGCCAGCAGCCGCGGUAAUACGGAGGAUCCAAGCGUUAUCCGGAAUCAUUGGGCUUAAAGGGUCCGUAGGCGGUUUGGUAAGUCAGUGGUGAAAGCCCAUCGCUCAACGGUGGAACGGCCAUUGAUACUGCCAGACUUGAAUUAUUAGGAAGUAACUAGAAUAUGUAGUGUAGCGGUGAAAUGCUUAGAGAUUACAUGGAAUACCAAUUGCGAAGGCAGGUUACUACUAAUGGAUUGACGCUGAUGGACGAAAGCGUGGGUAGCGAACAGGAUUAGAUACCCUGGUAGUCCACGCCGUAAACGAUGGAUACUAGCUGUUGGGGCGCAGUUCAGUGGCUAAGCGAAAGUGAUAAGUAUCCCACC
rnacentral:rRNA from 1 species